AUUCAGACUUGUUCGAGGGAGAAACAUUCUCUGGGAAGGAUCCGUGAUAACACUGAAACAUCUGAAGGAUGAAGUUCUGACAGUAAAGACAGGCAUGGAAUGUGGCCUUUCUCUAGAUAAUGAAGAACUUGAAUACAAACCUGGGGAUGAAAUUAUUUGUUACAGUCAAUCUGAGAUCAAACAGAAAAUUUCUUGGGAUCCAGGAUUUUAAGGGACUGCAUUUGGCUCAUCGGUAUACUAUGCUGUGUAGUUUACAUGCACAUGCAGUAGCUAUAACAAGACUAGCUGUAGCAAACCUACAGUCACCAACAGGUAAUUAAAAAAAAAAAAU